UACGGAGGGUGCUAGCGUUGUUCGGAAUCACUGGGCGUAAAGGGCGUGUAGGCGGCCUGCUAAGUCUGAUGUGAAAUCCCCUCGCUCAACGAGGGAACUGCGUCGGAUACUGGCAGACUCGAGUACCGGAGAGGAAGGUGGAAUUCCCGGUGUAGCGGUGAAAUGCAUAGAUAUCGGGAGGAACACCGGUGGCGAAGGCGGCCUUCUGGACGGAUACUGACGCUGAGACGCGAAAGCGUGGGGAGCAAACAGG
rnacentral:rRNA from 1 species